rnacentral:rRNA from 1 species
UGGGGAAUUUUGCACAAUGGGGGAAACCCUGAUGCAGCGACGCCGCGUGAUUUAGAAGGCCUUCGGGUUGUAAAAAUCUUUUUUACGGGAUGAAAAUGACAGUACCGUAAGAAUAAGGUCCGGCUAAAUACGUGCCAGCAGCCGCGGUAAUACGUAUGGACCGAGCGUUGUCCGGAAUCAUUGGGCGUAAAGGGUACGUAGGCGGCCUAGUAAGUUAGAAGUGAAAUAAUAUAGCUCAACUAUAUAAAGCUUUUAAAACUGCUAGGCUUGAGAGAUGGAAGGGAAAGUGGAAUUCCUAGUGUAGCGGUGAAAUGCGCAGAUAUUAGGAAGAAUACCGGUGGCGAAGGCGACUUUCUGGUCAUCAUCUGACGCUGAGGUACGAAAGCGUGGGUAGCAAACAGG